UGGGAAUAUUGCGCAAUGGGGGAAACCCUGACGCAGCAACGCCGCGUGAAGGAAGACGGUUUUCGGAUUGUAAACUUCUUUUAUUGAGGACGAAACAAAUGACGGUACUCAAUGAAUAAGCUCCGGCUAACUACGUGCCAGCAGCCGCGGUAAUACGUAGGGAGCAAGCGUUGUCCGGAAUUACUGGGUGUAAAGGGCGAGUAGGCGGGACAAAAAGUCAGAUGUGAAAACUAUGGGCUCAACCCAUAGCCUGCAUUUGAAACUUUUGUUCUUGAGAGAUGGAGAGGUAAGCGGAAUUCCUAGUGUAGCGGUGAAAUGCGUAGAUAUUAGGAGGAACACCAGUGGCGAAGGCGGCUUACUGGACAUUUACUGACGCUGAGGAGCGAAAGCGUGGGGAGCGAAC
rnacentral:rRNA from 1 species